GCUCAGGUGGCCUAGUGGUUAGAGCAUCCGCCUCAGGUGCGAGAGGACGUGGGUUCGAGCCCCGUCCGAAUCA